GCAGUAGCCGCGGUAAUACAGAGGGUGCGAGCGUUAAUCGGAUUUACUGGGCGUAAAGCGUGCGUAGGCGGCUAAUUGAGUCGGAUGUGAAAUCCCCGAGCUUAACUUGGGAAUUGCAUUCGAUACUGGUUAGCUAGAGUGUGGGAGAGGAUGGUAGAAUUCCAGGUGUAGCGGUGAAAUGCGUAGAGAUCUGGAGGAAUACCGAUGGCGAAGGCAGCCAUCUGGCCUAACACUGACGCUGAGGUACGAAAGCAUGGGGAGCAAACAGGAUUAGAUACCCGUGUAGUCCCUGUCUCUUAUAA
rnacentral:rRNA from 1 species